rnacentral:tRNA from 1 species
AAAAUUUUAAGAUAAAUUUUUAAUCUAUUAACCUUCAAAGUUAAAUAUAUAAAACAAUUUUAUAAAUUUUA